UACGUAGGGGGCAAGCGUUGUCCGGAUUCAUUGGGCGUAAAGAGCUCGUAGGCGGUUCGGCAAGUCGGGUGUGAAAACUCCAGGCUCAACCUGGAGACGCCACCCGAUACUGCUGUGACUUGAGUCCGGUAGGGGACCACGGAAUUCCUGGUGUAGCGGUGAAAUGCGCAGAUAUCAGGAGGAACACCGGUGGCGAAGGCAGCCCCCUGGGUCAAGACUGACGCUCAUGCACGAAAGCGUGGGGAGCAAACAGG
rnacentral:rRNA from 1 species